UUGAAGAGUUUGAUCAUGGCUCAGAUUGAACGCUGGCGGCAGGCCUAACACAUGCAAGUCGAACGGUAGCACAGAGAGCUUGCUCUCGGGUGACGAGUGGCGGACGGGUGAGUAAUGUCUGGGAAACUGCCUGAUGGAGGGGGAUAACUACUGGAAACGGUGGCUAAUACCGCAUAACGUCGCAAGACCAAAGAGGGGGACCUUCGGGCCUCUUGCCAUCAGAUGUGCCCAGAUGGGAUUAGCUUGUUGGUGAGGUAACGGCUCACCAAGGCGACGAUCCCUAGCUGGUCUGAGAGGAUGACCAGCCACACUGGAACUGAGACACGGUCCAGACUCCUACGGGAGGCAGCAGUGGGGAAUAUUGCACAAUGGGCGCAAGCCUGAUGCAGCCAUGCCGCGUGUAUGAAGAAGGCCUUCGGGUUGUAAAGUACUUUCAGCGGGGAGGAAGGUGUUGUGGUUAAUAACCGCAGCAAUUGACGUUACCCGCAGAAGAAGCACCGGCUAACUCCGUGCCAGCAGCCGCGGUAAUACGGAGGGUGCAAGCGUUAAUCGGAAUUACUGGGCGUAAAGCGCACGCAGGCGGUCUGUCAAGUCGGAUGUGAAAUCCCCGGGCUCAACCUGGGAACUGCAUUCGAAACUGGCAGGCUUGAGUCUUGUAGAGGGGGGUAGAAUUCCAGGUGUAGCGGUGAAAUGCGUAGAGAUCUGGAGGAAUACCGGUGGCGAAGGCGGCCCCCUGGACAAAGACUGACGCUCAGGUGCGAAAGCGUGGGGAGCAAACAGGAUUAGAUACCCUGGUAGUCCACGCCGUAAACGAUGUCUACUUGGAGGUUGUGCCCUUGAGGCGUGGCUUCCGGAGCUAACGCGUUAAGUAGACCGCCUGGGGAGUACGGCCGCAAGGUUAAAACUCAAAUGAAUUGACGGGGGCCCGCACAAGCGGUGGAGCAUGUGGUUUAAUUCGAUGCAACGCGAAGAACCUUACCUGGUCUUGACAUCCACAGAAGAAUCCAGAGAUGGAUUUGUGCCUUCGGGAACUGUGAGACAGGUGCUGCAUGGCUGUCGUCAGCUCGUGUUGUGAAAUGUUGGGUUAAGUCCCGCAACGAGCGCAACCCUUAUCCUUUGUUGCCAGCGGUCCGGCCGGGAACUCAAAGGAGACUGCCAGUGAUAAACUGGAGGAAGGUGGGGAUGACGUCAAGUCAUCAUGGCCCUUACGACCAGGGCUACACACGUGCUACAAUGGCGCAUACAAAGAGAAGCGACCUCGCGAGAGCAAGCGGACCUCAUAAAGUGCGUCGUAGUCCGGAUUGGAGUCUGCAACUCGACUCCAUGAAGUCGGAAUCGCUAGUAAUCGUGGAUCAGAAUGCCACGGUGAAUACGUUCCCGGGCCUUGUACACACCGCCCGUCACACCAUGGGAGUGGGUUGCAAAAGAAGUAGGUAGCUUAACCUUCGGGAGGGCGCUUACCACUUUGUGAUUCAUGACUGGGGUGAAGUCGUAACAAGGUAACCGUAGGGGAACCUGCGGUUGGAUCACCUCCUU
rnacentral:rRNA from 1 species